rnacentral:sRNA from 1 species
CUAAAGAGAAGAAGAAGAAGAAGAAAAAA